AGUUCUUCUAUGUGUGUCUAGUAGAAUUUGGCUGUGCAUCUACCUGCUCCAGGGCUUUUUCUUGGUUGCCAGGUGAAGAUUUUCCUGCUUCCCCAUUGCCUUCUGCCAUGAUUGUAAGUUCCCCGAGGCCUCCUCAGCCAUGCUUCCCAAACAGCCUGUGGAACGUGUCUCCAAUCCUAUCCCCCUGUUAGCUCCAGUGCUUAUAAGAAGACCAAGUGCUUUCCCUUGGCCUGGGUUGCUCAGGUCUCCAGUGGAAAGAUAUUCUUUCAGAUACUGUGUACUGAUGAAACUGCUGACUCAGCUGGUCUGAAGGACCCCACUGGCACUGGCUGGUCUGAAGGACCCUGCUGAUCACAACUUGCCUGAAGGACCCUACUGACAUCAGCUGUUGUCCAAAGGACGCCACAAGAAACUGACUCACCAAAAAAUGCAUCCUGAUGAUUUCAUCCCCCUUAACCCGACCAAUCAACAACCCCAAAUCUACACAGCCCCUUUCCCUCCAUGAUUCCUACAAAACUCCAGCCCAGAACUCCUCAGGGAGAUGGAUUUGAAGGUCUCCUCCCUUCUACUUGCUUGAUGCCCUAUUAUUAUUAAACUCUUUGCUACAAACCCUGCUG
rnacentral:lncRNA from 1 species